rnacentral:rRNA from 1 species
AGUGAACGCUGGCGGUAGGCCUAACACAUGCAAGUCGAACGGCAGCACAGUAAGAGCUUGCUCUUACGGGUGGCGAGUGGCGGACGGGUGAGGAAUACAUCGGAAUCUACUUUUUCGUGGGGGAUAACGUAGGGACACUUACGCUAAUACCGCAUACGACCUACGGUUGAAAGCAGGUGAUCUUCGGACCUUGCGCGAUUGAAUGAGCCGAUGUCGGAUUAGCUAGUUGGCGGGGUAAAGGCCCACCAAGGCGACGAUCCGUAGCUGGUCUGAGAGGAUGAUCAGCCACACUGGAACUGAGACACGGUCCAGACGCCUACGGGAGGCAGCAGUGGGGAAUAUUGGACAAUGGGCGCAAGCAUGAUCCAGCCAUACCGCGUGGGUGAAGAAGGCCUUCGGGUUGUAAAGACCUUUUGUUGGGAAAGAAAAGCAGCAGGUUAAUACCCCGCUGUUCUGACGGUACCCAAAGAAUAAGCACCGGCUAACUUCGUG